GUGGGGAAUCUUGCGCAAUGGGCGAAAGCCUGACGCAGCCAUGCCGCGUGAAUGAUGAAGGUCUUAGGAUUGUAAAAUUCUUUCACCGGGGACGAUAAUGACGGUACCCGGAGAAGAAGCUCCGGCUAACUUCGUGCCAGCAGCCGCGGUAAUACGAAGGGGGCUAGCGUUGCUCGGAAUUACUGGGCGUAAAGGGCGCGUAGGCGGACAGCUUAGUCAGAGGUGAAAGCCCAGGGCUCAACCUUGGAAUUGCCUUUGAUACUGGCUGUCUUGAGUUUGGGAGAGGUGAGUGGAAAUCCGAGUGUAGAGGUGAAAUUCGUAGAUAUUCGGAAGAACACCAGUGGCGAAGGCGACUCACUGGCCCAAUACUGACGCUGAGGCGCGAAAGCGUGGGGAGCAAACAGGAUUAGAAACCCGUGUAGUCC
rnacentral:rRNA from 1 species